rnacentral:lncRNA from 1 species
AUUUCCAGCUCACAAAAUCCCUAACUCACUAACAUUCUCUAUAUAGCUCACAAAAUCCCUUCUUCUGUACACAACUAUUGUUAAGAAGAGUAAUAACAUUCUUUAUUCUCCAUUCUCUCAAUUCGAGUGAGAGAAUUUAUGCAGUUCUUGUUGUUACUCUCUAGGUGUUGCUUCUUCUUUUCAAUUUUCAGAAUUUAUGUUCCGUAUCAGAGCUCUGAUUCCUUGGCUGCGACAAUGGGCGAUCAUAAUGACAGAGUUACGCAAGGAUGUUGAUAGCCUCAAAGGUUCUGUAGAUUCUGUAGUUCACACACUUGCAGAAUUGACUACUUCAGUGGAAGUAAAAUUUGCACAAACAUUAGAAAAGACUAAGAAGAUGAUGAUAGUCAAUGGGGAUAAUCACGUGUAGAAUGGACUGGUAACAUACAGAGGUGAGGAAGUUCUAAGAAAUCAUACAAAGAAUCGAGUGGUCAAAGCUGUCGAACAUCAACCUCACUUUAGGUUACAAGGUGGAUAUGGCCAUCUCCAAAUUUGAUGGAACUGGGCUGAAGGAUUGGCUCUAUAAGUGUGAGCAGUUCUUAGAUGUGGAUGAGACUCCUGAAGAUUCAAAGGUGAAGUUGGCUUCUUAUAAACUCGAAGGUCGAGCUCUGCAAUGGUAUCAAAGGUUCAUGAAAUCGCCUCGCUGGGGGGAAGUAUGUACGGUGUCUCUAUUCCAAAUUUGGAGCAGAGUUAUUUGAUGAUCCAAUGAGCGAUUUCAAAGACCUAAGACAGGUAACAACUGUUCAAAAAUACAUUGACUUUUUGAUGAAUUGCUUAAUAGAGUAAAAUUGUAUAGAUAUGUUGUUAGUUGCUUCGUAAGGGGACUGAAGCCUGAAAUUGGACUUCCUGUUGAAAUGUUAAAUCUUAGAUACUUAUCAAAGCCAUUAGCCUAGUAAGAUUAUAGG